GGCGUGCCUUUUGUAGAAUGAACCGGCGAGUUACGAUUUGAUGCAAGGUUAAGCAGUAAAUGUGGAGCCGUAGCGAAAGCGAGUCUGAAUAGGGCGUUUAGUAUUUGGUCGUAGACCCGAAACCAGGUGAUCUACCCUUGGUCAGGUUGAAGUUCAGGUAACACUGAAUGGAGGACCGAACCGACUUACGUUGAAAAGUGAGCGGAUGAACUGAGGGUAGCGGAGAAAUUCCAAUCGAACCUGGAGAUAGCUGGUUCUCUCCGAAAUAGCUUUAGGGCUAGCCUCAAGUGAUGAUUAUUGGAGGUAGAGCACUGUUUGGACGAGGGGCCCCUCUCGGGUUACCGAAUUCAGACAAACUCCGAAUGCCAAUUAAUUUAACUUGGGAGUCAGAACAUGGGUGAUAAGGUCCGUGUUCGAAAGGGAAACAGCCCAGACCACCAGCUAAGGUCCCAAAAUAUAUGUUAAGUGGAAAAGGAUGUGGCGUUGCCCAGACAACUAGGAUGUUGGCUUAGAAGCAGCCAUCAUUUAAAGAGUGCGUAAUAGCUCACUAGUCGAGUGACACUGCGCCGAAAAUGUACCGGGGCUAAACAUAUUACCGAAGCUGUGGAUUGUCCUUUGGACAAUGGUAGGAGAGCGUUCUAAGGGCGUUGAAGCAUGAUCGUAAGGACAUGUGGAGCGCUUAGAAGUGAGAAUGCCGGUGUGAGUAGCGAAAGACGGGUGAGAAUCCCGUCCACCGAUUGACUAAGGUUUCCAGAGGAAGGCUCGUCCGCUCUGGGUUAGUCGGGUCCUAAGCUGAGGCCGACAGGCGUAGGCGAUGGAUAACAGGUUGAUAUUCCUGUACCACCUAUAAUCGUUUUAAUCGAUGGGGGGACGCAGUAGGAUAGGCGAAGCGUGCGAUUGGAUUGCACGUCUAAGCAGUAAGGCUGAGUAUUAGGCAAAUCCGGUACUCGUUAAGGCUGAGCUGUGAUGGGGAGAAGACAUUGUGUCUUCGAGUCGUUGAUUUCACACUGCCGAGAAAAGCCUCUAGAUAGAAAAUAGGUGCCCGUACCGCAAACCGACACAGGUAGUCAAGAUGAGAAUUCUAAGGUGAGCGAGCGAACUCUCGUUAAGGAACUCGGCAAAAUGACCCCGUAACUUCGGGAGAAGGGGUGCUCUUUAGGGUUAACGCCCAGAAGAGCCGCAGUGAAUAGGCCCAAGCGACUGUUUAUCAAAAACACAGGUCUCUGCUAAACCGUAAGGUGAUGUAUAGGGGCUGACGCCUGCCCGGUGCUGGAAGGUUAAGAGGAGUGGUUAGCUUCUGCGAAGCUACGAAUCGAAGCCCCAGUAAACGGCGGCCGUAACUAUAACGGUCCUAAGGUAGCGAAAUUCCUUGUCGGGUAAGUUCCGACCCGCACGAAAGGCGUAACGAUUUGGGCACUGUCUCAACGAGAGACUCGGUGAAAUCAUAGUACCUGUGAAGAUGCAGGUUACCCGCGACAGGACGGAAAGACCCCGUGGAGCUUUACUGUAGCCUGAUAUUGAAAUUCGGCACAGCUUGUACAGGAUAGGUAGGAGCCUUUGAAACGUGAGCGCUAGCUUACGUGGAGGCGCUGGUGGGAUACUACCCUAGCUGUGUUGGCUUUCUAACCCGCACCACUUAUCGUGGUGGGAGACAGUGUCA
rnacentral:rRNA from 1 species